rnacentral:tRNA from 1 species
GAUUCAAUGGUCUAGUGGUUAUGAUUUGUGUCUCACACACACAAGGUCCUGAGUUCGAGCCUCAGUUGAAUCA